AUUGAACGCUGGCGGAAUGCUUUACACAUGCAAGUCGAACGGCAGCACGGGUGCUUGCACCUGGUGGCGAGUGGCGAACGGGUGAGCAAUACAUCGGAACGUACCCAGUCGUGGGGGGUAACGUAGCGAAAGUUACGCUAAUACCGCAUACGUCCUGAGGGAGAAAGCGGGGGACCGUAAGGCCUCGCGCGAUUGGAGCGGCCGAUGGCGGAUUAGCUAGUUGGUGGGGUAAAGGCCUACCAAGGCGACGAUCCGUAGCGGGUCUGAGAGGACGGCCCGGCACACUGGAACUGAGACACGGUCCAAGCUCCUACGGGAGGCAGCAGUGGGGAAUUGUGGACAAGGGGCGAAAGCCUGAUCCAGCCAUGCCGCGUGAGAGAAGAAGGCCUUCGGGUUGUAAAGCUCUUUCGGCAGGGAAGAAACGGCUUGGGAUAAUACCCCGGGCUAAUGACGGUACCUGAAGAAGAAGCACCGGCUAACUACGUGCCAGCCGCCGCCGUAA
rnacentral:rRNA from 1 species